GCCGCUUAAGGAAGGGGCCAUGCCCCACCGGCGGGGCGGGGGCCAGCUGCGCGUCGCGCUCUGCCCCGCCCUGCCUUGGGCGCGGCGCACUUGGCACAAGCAGCAAAUAAUGGCUUCGGGGGGCGCGGACGGUGCUGGCCGCGGUGGCUCCGAGGCGACGGCCGUCGGGCGGCCCGUUAACGCCGGGGCGGGGGGGCUUCCUCCUUCCCCCCCUCCCUCCCCUGUUGGUUCGGCCCGUCCCGCCCCUCCCGAGCCCGUGACAGGUGGAGCGGCACCCGACGCGUGCGCGCGCCCCCGCCCGCGGCCGUCACGUGGCGCCGCGCGCGCCUCGCGCGAGACUCGCGGCGCGAGGGGUCUCGCGAUGCCUCGGCGGCCCCGGGGCGUGAGGGCGGGGAAGGGCCCGGCCCGGCCCGGGCGGGGAGCGGCGGGAAAGGCGCGAGGGAGGGGAGGGAAGAGGAAAGCCUGGGAAUUCGGGCUUCUGGGGACGCCUCGCGCGUGAAUAAAGUCCUGCCUGUACCUCCUGCCCCUGGCAGCUGUGAUGGUGUCCAUUCGUGUGUAUUCCAAAUGUGGACUGCUUUCAUUUGUAGGAAUAGUCUUGGAAGGAGGAGACUGAGACCUACCAGAGCACCUCAUUUGGCCCCCUCCCAGCCACCCUGUAUCCUGUGAUCCAGCCAGGGAAUAACAAUCACCUGCACCAAUAGUUCUCCCAACAGCAGUGUGCUCUGAGCGUUGCCCUUCCUGAUCGUCCUCAUCACGCGACACAACGUGGGUUCAAAAUUUGGAUCCCAAAUCUGUGGCACGUGUGCAGACAAACUUCAAGGCAGUCAUCCCAGCACAGAGUCAGCUUUUGCCAUAGGAGCAAGCUUGGGUACUGCUGGCAUGGCAUUGUCUCAAAUUCCUAAGAAAAAAAAUAGGAAUUACCUGCAACAGUUAAUGCAGGGAGAAGCAGGGCGGGUACUGUACGAGAAGUUUCUCGAAGUCUUUCUGUCAGCACCACCUUUUGCUUUCAUGUGAUUUUGCAUGUUAAAGUCUGGGGCACAAUCCUUGAACAAAACAACAACAACUCUUUUUCCAUUUAAAGAAAGUCUGGGUAGAAUAGCCCUCCAGCAGGUUAUUGGGGCAGACUUUCAUUCCUGUACAUAUUAGAAACGUGUGGGAAUAGAGGUAACCAGCCAGCCUGUAUCCCAGACUGAUGCCUGAAGGUUCCAUUGUUUAUUUUUUCACAUCAAUAACAAUAUUUUAAAAAUACCUUUUCGGCUGAACCUAUUUACACACUCUCAGAUGGCUCUUGUUCUUUUUGUCCUUCCUUGGCUGUCCUACAGCCUUGUAAUGGAAAUCACUGCACAGUUUUCUGCUCAGCCUUUGGAUUUCUAACUCUUUUUAGGGGAGAUGUGUGUGCUCCACAAGUGAGUUUUUCCAGGAUUCUUCCUUGUCACGCUGUAAAACUGAUGCAAAGCACGUCCUGCUGUUUUUCUAAGCAGAGGGAGAAAUUGUGUCAUCCCCCACAACAGGCUCUUCAUUGCCACUUGACCUGUCUCCAGUCCACUGUUCAGUCCUAUCCAUAGGUAACCUCUCUUUUUAAUGGAAAGUGUUUUGGUUUAGAAAAAUGUCUGUGUUUCUCGUGUGGGUUUUUGCCCUCACUUUACUUCAAUUUGUACUUCAAUAACAAAGCAACUGAAUAAAAUAUAUAAAAACCCAUUUUUUUUCUGAAAUUAAGUGAACUUCAUCCAAGCUCAAAAUCCUGACAGUCACUUUUAACAUUUGGAAGAUUUUGCAAGCACACACUGAAAAAAAUAUUUUGACGUCUAGGUUGUCAGAUAAUCUGUCAGCAACACUUAUAUCAUUCAGGGAGAGAACUGUUAAUUUCCAGAGUAAUUUAUUUGGAAAAUAAUGCAUUUACUGCAGUGGAAUAUCCUGCUGGAUGCUAGAAAAGCUACUUAGCAUUUGUGCAGGCAGAGUAGUUGGCUUCAGAACGUGGGUUAUUCUCUUGCGACAAAAACACAGGAAAAGAAAUUCUUGCCAGAAACCAUCAGUGAAAAGCAGGUACCUGCAAAGGGCAGGAUGGUCAGAGAUGGGCAGGAAGUGUUAGGAACUCCAUGCAGAAGGAUGGAAUGCCUGGAGAAAAGGGGAGGAGUGCUCAGGGUCACACUCUUUAAAGAAUAGGCUCAUGGGGCACAAUGGAUCAUACACCAAAUGCUUUACUUGGAAUAAUCUUUAAAUGCCAGGGAAGUUCUCAGCACUGUGGUGCUGUGCCCAGAAAAAAAACCCAAAAAAAUCUUCCAAUUCUGCUUCAGUUUUCUCUGUCCAUUUGUUUAUCCAUUACAAAUUGAUCUUGUUUCUGUAGGAAAAUGUCAGAGCAUUAUGUGUAAUGAUGGUGAUGAUCAUCCCCAAAGGGUCCGAGGACUAAAGCCCAGGUCUUGUCUGCUUGUGCUGUGGGAUGGUGUCAGUCUGAGGCUGCAUCAUGUUUCAUGUGGCAUAAUUUGUGUCCCAUCCUGAUUUACACAUAAAAUUUAAGUUAUAACUGUGAUUUCUUGUAAAGAAAAUAUGUGCUUUUUCCAUGCAUUUUACUGUGUAAUUAACAAACAGUAAAUUUGUUACCCUGCUUAUUGCUUUUGUUGGCAAUGAUGGCAACAAAAGCUGUGAUUUUGCAGGAAUAAGCAAGGCCAGGUCAUGGAGGAAGACUGGUAACUUUAAAGAUUAUUCAGCACUUAAAGAAAGGUAUUUGCAACAUGGGCAAUCUCAGCUUUCAAAUUCUUCUUAACUCUGUCCCUGUCUAAUUACUCAACCAAGUCUCACUGGCACUUACCUUUCAUUGAUGGUCAAUGCCACUCUCAGAGCUCUGUCAAGCUGCUUCUUCCAGAGGCUUUUUUUUCUGUGCUCCCCCUGAUGCAGGAGAUGUUUCCUCUUUUCAGACAGACAAAGCCAUUAGAUCAAGUUGAUGAAUUUUGCUCUGAGUUUCCUGUGUUCUGAGUCACUUUUAGAAAUUGCAAAACAAAAUGUAUAAGACACCCUCUUAGAUUAUUAGACCUUACCUCAUCUACAUCAACCUUUUAUUCUGUUGCCAUUUUUAGUGGAAAGACAACAUAACAUUAUUGUGGGAACUUCUGUGUUUUAUCAUGUUCAUUUAACUUCAGUGAAACUAAAAAAUUAUAAACUCUUGCCAUAUUCAUCUUUAUCCUCCUUAUUUGUCCUUAUACAUUCUUUUGUUUCUGAGGCAAAUCAGAAGAGGGGGGAAAAAAAAGGGUGAGGGUAAAAGGAGGAAAGAGUAAAAGAAGAACAAAACAAAGGAGAAAAAAAAAAGUUUUUAUACUUAUUCUUGGAAAUUUUAACUUGAGGAAAUACCCUAUUUAAAGGGUUUACAGUUAUUUCAUAUAGAAUAACGGUACUUUUGUCUUUCUAAAAAAUUCUCUGCCAUUUCUACUGUAAAAUUAGCAUAGCUCCACCAGGUCAAUUGAGGACAAGUUGCACAAACUUUAGCCACUGUAUUAGCCCACAUUUAAUAUGUUUUAAAAUACUUCAUCCGAGUUGACAAGAUGCACAUAUGGUUUCUGAGUUAUGGAUUGAAGGGCUGUAGCUUUUAGCCUUCCUUUCUGUCUCCUCACUGUCAUAUUUCACUCACAAUCUUACUGCAUCAGACUUGGAUUAUCAGCCUUUUUUGGUCCAUAAAGCAUCCAGCAUAUUAAUGUUUUGCAUAAAUUACAAGAAAUUUAAUCCAAAAUCAACUAAAAAAUAUUAUUUUGCAAAAUCACAGCAGAUUUUAAAACUGAGCAGUCCCAGCUUUUCGGAAUGCAUUGUGGAUGUUGUCGUGAUUUAUGUGCUGUCAGUUAUUUUUGUAUAUGUUGAAAAAAACCUGACAAGUUUCUAUCUCACAUUUCAUAAAUCAGGGUUUUCUGUAUACAAAGCACGUGUCAGAAAUCAGUAUCUAAACAACAUGCCAGUUGGCUUCUCCAUGUGGCAGCUUGUAAACAAAAAUAUUUGGGGACUGCGCAUUUGUGACAUGACAUGUAAUGCGAUGUAUAAACACCAGCUAUUGGGAAAUAAUCCUGUUCCUCUACAUUGCUAAUAAAAUGAUAAAUCGUGCUUGCACUGCUGCAUCACAGUUCAGUGGGUGAAACUUUCCAAAUUCAGGUGGUUCUGUUGUUUUUUUCCAAGUAGGUGUAUGGAGAGGUUAAAUACUUUGUUAGUGACCUAUCUGUGCAUCAGAGGGCUAUGUCAGAACUGACGGGGUGUUUUGUGCAUUUAUGUUAUUUGGAAAUUUUUUCCCCCCAUAUUAAUUGUGUUUUGGUCAGAGACAAAUUCUGGUUAUACUGAAAUCAGUGAAGGAUUUUCCACCACCUUCCAUGGGAUCAGGAAUCAGCUGUCAGAGGACAGGGGAAUUACCAGGGCAAAACAGCUGUUCACACAGUGCAGGUUCCAAGACGUGAAUCAGCAUCCACGAGAUGUCAACUCGAUAUGAUGAGAACAGAAGAUACAAUACUGCAAAGUAUUUCAUUCUGUGAAGGCCAAACCAAACAGGACAAGUCUUGUGGAGAAGAUGCAGAGACACAUUAUUACAUCUUCCCAGUGUAAAUGCAGCUGGAAAAGGCUACAGCAGAUCACGUCUAAGGAAUAAAAGGUUGAGCAGGAUAUGGGAAAACUAGAAUGAACUAAAAGUAGUUGCUGUCUGACUGGAUGCUGUUUAAAUGACCAUUGCAACACAGAGGGUUUGAAGCAGGGCUGAGGAUCAUCAACAGGCCUAAUAUUAGUACAUCACAAAGUGCAGGACAUGAAAGUAAUUUAAAACACCCAAGAAUUUUUAUUAUUCGUCAAUGAUGCAGGUUCUUUUAACAUUUUAUCCAUUUUUUUGUUGUUGUCAAGCCGGCAAAUAAACAUUCAUAGGAUCCUGUAUAAAAUAUGAUUUCUUUUUGUUCUUUUGCUGCUACAUCUAGUUAAAUAGCCUGGCAUUUCUGUUCAUAUGUCUUGUUUUGUUUUGUGCCACAUCCAUUUUUGCAAAAUCUGACACCAAAUAAGGAAAAAACAACUAAUGAACUGUGCAAUAGGUAAGUAGCUUCCUAGUGUUGUGACAAGGGAGGAAAAAUACUGGGUUUAUUCCCAUAAAUCAAAGUAAUCAUGCAAAUAUUGAACUUUAUAACCUUAAUUUGUUCUCAUAUGUUUCAAAAUUCCACUGCUACUUUCAGCCAAACAUAAAUUAAUAAUGGUUCCAAAUGCCUGUAGAUUAUUUAAUUAAAACAGAGUAAAUUCAUUUUUCAUUCUCAGCUAAGUGACAUAAAACAGACUUUGCAGGGAGAAGGCCAUGCUCAGGAUUCUGAUGUCCCUGAAGAUUCUUUCAAGAAUUUUGAUAAAGUCUUAACUGUUUUCUUCCUUUUGUAUUAACACACUCUGUGGUGUUUUCUCUUUACAGUAGAUGUCCAUAAUCCCAAAUUAUAUUUCUGUCCAAGGUUUGUGGGGCUUUUUUUGGUAGUUUAAGUGUUCUUUUCCUGUUUUUUUAUGUCUGAUGGUCUUCCUGCAGACUUUCUGUGGACUUUUGUAGUUCAGACUAAUUUGUUUAAUUGAUAAAUAGUUUUGCACAAAAUUUUGUACUCCCAGCCAUGUGCCCUUUUGCCCAGUUAGUUUUGUAAUUAUUUCAAAAGAAGGAAACUGAUAAGUCAUAUAGGAAAAAAAGGAAGGAAGCUGAUUAUUGUCAAUUAACAUAAAUUCUGACAUGCAAACACCAGAGAGGAAUGAAAUAAUGCAAAAGCAGGCUGAAAACAAAAACUGUCGUACUCCUGGCCAACUUCUGUGAUCACAUUUGAAAUACUGAUUUCAGUUUCAUCUUGUUAGCAGAAAAAUAACUAGGGAAGUUACAAAAGAACAGAAAACUGGCAGGGAGAUUAAAAGUUAUGAUUUAAACAGCAAGAUGUUAAAAAAAAAACCCAAACAUGAAAUUGUUACUGAUUAUCUUAAUUAGCAAUCUCUUGAGGAGUGGGUGGAGUUACUAAGCUCCCUAAGGUUUGGAUCCCAAGGUUUGACAUUACGUGUUUACAGUUUCAGAGACUAAAAUUAUCAGGGAAAAAAAGGGAAUAUUGACAGUGUUUAUUGUGCUUCCUGGUUAUCCCAUUCCCAAAUUUGUGUGUACUUCUAAAACGGGCUUAAAUAUUCAGGAUUGACAUACAAUUGAAGUAGAUAAACUGAGGGAGCCCUACAGCAUCUGGUAGGGACCUAAAGUGGAACUCAUUAAGUAAAAUGAAAGAAAAUAGAUGAAAUUUUAAAAUACAAGAUUCAGGCUAAUUAUGAGCAAACAUUUAGUUACUGAAGUCUGCAUGGCAGCAUAAAUCAUUCCUUUGAACAUUUAAACUAGAUAGGAAAAGACAUGGAAAAAUCGGUGAUUAAUUCUGUAUUGGUUGGAUGUAUUAGGAUGACUAAUAGAAUAGGUUUUUAAUAUAUAAAAUCUGUACUGCAUCCAUCUGAAACUGCAUAUACAGGCAUGCAAGGGAUACAAGAAUUUGACCCUAUAAUUGGUAAAAUCCAAUGACUUCAGUUUGGCGAGACAGCACCAAAGUACUCUGUGCUGCAUGAGAAUGAAGACUAUAAAUAAGUAAUGUAUUUAUUUUUAAAUAAAUGGGAACAAGUAAAUUUUCCCAUAUCCCUAAAUGCUCAUAAAUCAUUGUGAUUUACUGUGUCAGUCUUAUUUUUCAGUUCUGCCAUCUAUUUCAGUUCUCUUUAAAGACUGUACAUAUGGAGAGAUCGACUACAAGAUUUUCAGUCUCUGGAAAUCCAUAUCUGCCAGGAAAAAAAUGUCUGGAGGCCAAGAUUAUCCCUUUACCUACAGGAAGAAGUGGCAGCACUUUUAAUUAGGCAUUGUCCCAACCAGAACUGCAUAUGAAAGCUCUGUUACCUCAGGGUCUCUGGGAUAUAGCCUGCCUUUGUAUAAAGAUGUGUGUUGAAGAUUUACUGGAAGGAAAGCAAAUAACAGGGCUCAUGAGUAACAUUUGAUGUGCUUUGGGUGCUGCAGGUGUGGGCAGCUCAGCUGGAGGUGUUGUAUGAAGGGCCCAAGCAUCACAUCAGCCCAGUCAUAGGCCACUGUUCCUGCUGACCAGAGCGCUGGGAGUGAACAGGGAGACUGGAGCUGAA